GUCUUUUUGUUGUUGUUGUUGCUAUUUCUUGGGCCGCUCCCGCGGCCUAUGGAGGUUACCAGGCUAGGGGUUGAAUCGGAGCUGUAGCCACCGGCCUACGCCAGAGCCACAGCAACGUGGGAUCCGAGCCGCGUCUGCAACCUACACCACAGCUCACGGCAGCGCCGGAUUGUUAACCCACUGAGCAAGGGCAGGGACCGAACCCGCAACCUCAUGGUUCCUAGUCGGAUUCGUUAACCACUGCACCACGACGGGAACUCCAAGAUUUGCUAUUUUAUUUUUUGAAGUUCUACUAUUAUUUUAUUACUGUUACAUAAGAAUUAUAGAACAGAAUUUUAUAUAUGUCAUGCAUUUUGUAAAACUUUUCUAUUAAACCAAGACAAACCCUCAGUUCUAAGAUGUACUGUGAUAUCAGAGAUGUUAAAAUGUGAAAGAAUAUGCACCUUAACUUUGAUGAAAAGUGAUAUAAUCUCCACAUUACAAAUGAAGAAACAGACUUCAUGAGGUUAAGAUGCCAAAGGUCACAUGGUUAGCCAAGGGGGACAUCCAGGGCUCACAUUCAGGUGGGUCUGACUUGAAGUCCAUGCUCUUAACUAUUUGAUGAGUGUGUCUCAGUUUGUGUUUAUGCCCCAGAAAGUGAAAUUAAGUAUCUUCUUGUUGUUAAGUUGAUCAUCAGUAUGCUGCAGAGUGAUAACUUAAAUCUCAGGGUGAUUUUUCAAGAUUUGCUCACCCAAUAAGGCCAAAGAGGCCAAGAAAAAGAAACCAAUUUCUACCUCAUUUGCAGCUAUGUAGGUAGCUUCAACAUUACAGCUUUCAAGUGAUGAAUUCUGUCUCUUUGUCCUGGAAUCAACCUUCAUUUUAGCUUAUAAAAUGAAAAAGAACAUUUUUUCAUACAAAAUAAGAUCUUUCUUUCUGAAGACAUUGCUUGGCCUGCUGUUCAGUUUACAAGCAAAUUACAAUUUCUCUACUUUUAAUAACUCAAGAUGUUUCAUAACUUUGUCAUAGUUUGAGAUUUGAGAACAAGCAAACAAGACCACACGAAGCUUAAAGAAGCACAGAGCAAUUUCUUAAAAAUGUUUUUAGCAAUAAAGACCCACAAGACAGAAAAAUAGAACAUGCAUACAUACUCAACUCAGAGUCCCCAUUUUUUUUUCUUCCUUCCUUCCUUCCUUUUCUUUUCUUUCUUUCUUUUUCCAGGAGGCAACAGCAACUUUAAAAUUGUCUUCCUCCUAUGUAGGAUUACACAUGCACUGUACACAACUUCAGUUCCUGUUCUAAAAGCACACGAUGAGCCAUUGUUUUAUGAUUGUCUCUUGAGGAUGAGGAAAAAUGUUACUGGUAGUCUGAAAGAAUAGGUUUUAAUAUGGGCAUUUAAUUUUCUUUCCAUAUACUCCCUGAUUAAAACAAGGUUUGCCCCAUUUUUCUAUUUUUCUUUUAAAAGCUCACUUUACCCACAUUAACAAAACAACAUACUGACUAUGGUAGUGACUUAGCUUUGACUGCCCUAAGUUAGAUCGAACUUGGAUCUAUCUCUUAUACUGUGUCUAGGCAUUGGACACAGUAUGACAAAAUUUAAUUUUUAGUUAUAAAAAAUUAUUUGUCUCCCCAAAUGUUAAACUGAAUGGUGAUAUAGUUUAUUGAUAUAGUUGUUUUAAAAUUAGUUAAUAAGAAUAUAAAAAGAAAUGUACUGCUCUUUAGCAGUUACUAAAAUGAGCAAAACAUUUAAAUCCACAAAGACCCUGAGCAGUUAAGCAAAACAUGAUAAUAAUAUUGUUUCUGGGCUAUAGAAAUAAUAUACUAUUUUUUAAAAAGUCCAAAAAAUACAAAGGAGAAAGUAAAAACAUCUCAAAUACAACUUCCGAGAUUGUUAUAGUUCAGUUUAAUUGUAAACCACAUUCUUUUUUUUCUUUUUUCUUUUUUAAACUAUGCUACCUUUCUGUUAUCACUUUAAACUAUACUCACUGGGAGCUAGAUCAACAAAUGUACUUUGAUUUGAAGAGGACUGAAUAUGGACUAUUCUGAUAAGAUUUAACACAGACAUAAACAUAGCCAGAAAAGAAAAUGUUAGAAUGUUCACACAGAUUGGAAGCCUGGGCUUGGGUCCAGUUAUUCAUACACUAGAAUAAAUGUCUGAGUUGUGUUGGGAUUACAUGGUCAGUUCUAAUCUAUUCAGUUUCACUGACAUGAACUCUUACUAUGUCCUGGAUACUGUGUGAAGUAUUUUAUAUACAGCAUUUCUUCCCACUAACUCUGCAAGUUAGGUAUUAUUGGCACCUGCUUUAAAGAUGAGAAAACUGGAGCUUAGAUAGGUUAGGAGACUUUUUCUGGCAAAUGGUGGAGCUGAGGUAUGUACUCAGGUCUGUGCAUCCCAAAGUUAUGUUCUUGCCGUGGUGCUAUCCGAAGAAUACCUGAUCCCCAUCUUCAAGGAACCUACAGUCUAAUAGGAUAUGAGGUAAUUAUAGAGAUAACUAAAACAUAAUAAAGAAUACAAAAUCAACCAUCCAAAGGUAUAAACAGCACGUUAUGAGAAUUCAAAUCCAGAGAAACCAAUCUACAUGUGUGUGGGACUUAGGAGUGAGAGGAGAUGGGGAGCAGGAAAACACUCCCAAGUAAGAGCCUGAAUGGGAAAAGGGACUUAAAAGAAGGAUAAAAUAGAUAUGAUGAAGACUGGGUGAAACGAAGGUGGGUCACGAAGAGGAAACAGGAAAUCUCAUGUGUUGGUUACAUAUAAGGAGUAGGAAGUAGAGAUCAAGUUAGAAAGGUGACUUUGGCUACAACUUUGAAGGUUUUGAGGCUCAAGGGGAGGAGUCUGUACGUAAUUCACCAGGUACUGAGGCUCACUCGAAAGUUUCUGAGUGGAAGGAGACCUUAGGAAGAUUGAUCAGGUAGUACUGUGGAGAGGAAACAGGCCAAUUCAUUGAAAGCCAAUUCCUUCGGCUUUCAGGAAGAUACAUUUCAAGGAUGAAAAACUGAGACUUGUAGGGGCUAAGUAGCUUACCAAAAGUCAUAGUAAAGAGAAAAGCCAGGAUUUGAAUCAAGUCCCUCCAACUCCAGAGCCAUACUCUGACCUCUAGGCCCACCUACUUCAAGUAAGGUUCAUGGACCAUAUAGCAUCAGCUCCCAGGAAAUCUGAAUGCUUAUUAGAAAUGCAGACCUACUAAAUCAGAAUCUGCAUUUUCAUGUGAUAUAUGCACAUUAAACUACUAAGCUACGUUUUUUUCCCUUAUAAUGACCUAUACAAUUAACUGGAAAAAUCAUUUAGUUGGCAGCAAAUCCAAUUGUUUGGGGGAUUAUAUUAGAUAGUUUCCUCACAUAAAAGGUAAGAACUACCUAAGAAAAGGGGGCCUUCUAGGUUUUGUUCCACUGGGAAGCAAGUUGCGAAUUUAAAAACUGAAAUUAUAACUGGAUGUGUGGCUUUGGGCAGGUCACUUAACCUCUUUGAAUUUUAGUUUCCUUAUCUGCAUAACAUUUAGCCUGUAAGAAUCAAAUGAAAUGGUAUCUGUGAAAAGAACUUAUCAACUGAGAAAUCAUUAUAAACAUAUGAAGUGUUGUUAUGAGGAGACAUAGCUAUAAAGUGCCCUAUUUCAAAAAAAAAAAAAAAAAGAUGGGGGAGAGAGGGAACGGAAGGGAGGGAGGGAAAGAAAGGAAGGAAAAGAGGAAAGGGUAAAAAGAAAAGCAGGGACAAUAUACAAAAGUAAACUGAAGGAAAAUCAGUUGCUGAAGCAGGGAUUUUGAAGAACUGAUGGGUAAAAGGUAAAGGAGUCCAGGAAAUCUAAUUUGGGUUCCACAUAGGUAUUUUUGAAAAUACAGAGACCACAUUGCAUAUGGAAUUAGGAAGAGAAACAAGGGCCUGUGUGGUCUUGGCCCAAGAUACCUGGGAGUUCCCGUCAUGGCUCAGUGGUUAACGAAUCAGACUAGAAUCCAUGAGGUUUCGGGUUCGAUCCCUGGCCUUGCUCAGUGAUUUAAGGAUCCGGCGUUGCUGUGAGCUGUGGUGUGGGUCGCAGACGUGGCUUAGAUUGCGUGUUGCUGUGGCUCUGGUGUAGGCCGGAAGUUACAGCUGCGACUCGACCCCUCGCCUGGGAACCUCCAUAUGCUGUGGGAGUGGCUCCAGAAAAAGGCAAAAAGACAAAAAAGAAAAAAAAAAGAUACCUGGAUGGGGGAAAACCCCUUAAAAUUUAUCAACAGAUAGAAUGGGAUAGUGUGCUAAUCAACAAUUUUUAGAUAUAGUUUCACAUAUAUGAUAGAUAAACUGAAUUUUUUUUUUGAGGAGUGGCAGUAAAUGCAUAAGCUCUGGGUUUGCUGAACUUCUGAAGGACAUGUGCCUGUAAUUGGCCUUUCUCAUUUCUGUCUUGUUAACAAGUAUAUAAAUAAGAGAAGGCUUCAGUAAUUGGCUCAGAGUUACUAAUGAAUUAAUUAACUUCAGUCUAUUUUACCUAACCUUUAAUAAUAAGAGUCUUUUUAUUUAUUUAUUUUUUUUGGGUCCAGCAAUAGGUCUGACAGACUGAAAAAACAGACAUGCAGCAAAGCUCUUGAAAAUUAAUGAGAAACGAGGAAAGAAUCAAUGUACAUUCUGCUUGCAGAGAACUGACACAAAAAAGACACAAUAAACCAUGAACAAACACAGUCAGUUUAAAAAAAUAGGUUAGAAAAAGUGGGCAAAUUCAAUUAUAGAAGUAAUUAGAAGAUAUAGGGCAAGGCUGCCUUUUGGGACCGUGCCAGAAAACAUGAAUUAAUAUGAGUGAAUAGAAAGAACCCAUGUAGUAAUUAAGAAGCAAUCACCUAUGGCAAUGAGUACCUGAAAACAGGCUGCAAACUAUUAAUUCAGUGAUCAAAAAUAUUUUUAGAUGAUUAAUAUGGCAAAUUUAUUUUAAAAGACUAAUUUCUGGAAAGAUAUCAAGACAAUAGCACACUAUUUGUUCAUCUGGCAUUUAUAUAGCUAAUUAAAUUUUAUAAUUUGCAACAACAGUCAUUAUUAUCUGAAAACAGUAAAAGCAAUAUUUCACCUCUGUUUUUUAAAAACAGUCGUUCUAAAAUCAAUAAAUCCAGCUCCUGCUGUCCUCCUGUAACUGCCUAGGCUUUGAUUGUUACAUUUUUUCAGGGUGCAUUUUUCUUCUAAGUCUGUUUCAGUAAUAUUAAGCAUUUGAAAGAAUGUACAUAUUCUCAAAGGUUUUAUAUGUUCCUAUGCCUGGGCAGGGAUUCCACACACUGUUUAAUUUCCACACUAUCAAAUAAAAGCAGUUUAAUGUACUAUUUGUGCAUCAAAGACUUUCUUACUUAGUCAACAGAGGUCUGUUACUUCAGUACACACCAUUCCUCCCCCUGAAUACAAAGGCAUAGACACGUUAUAGUGAAGAGUGCUUACAACACACAGAAGGCUAAUGGCUUCUGAAAUAGGUGAUUAUCAGAGCCCCGUAGAGCAAGAUGAGGGUCUGGCUGGUAAUAAAUAACCUCGCAAUAUGAAUUAUUCUAUUUCCACAGCUUUAAGAAAAUGUAUGUUUCAUUUGUUGAUCAGAAAUGUCUGAAAAAUGCUGUCUUUUUGGAAAUGACAGGGAGCUACUAAAAUGAAUCAGUGUGCCAGUGGGGAGUUACUGAGCACCUACUAAGGGCCUAAAGCACAAAAAUAAAUUUUGAAAUGCUAACCUUGUAACAUAUUUGUGUGUCUAUGUGUAUGAUUUCCUUUUAGAAGUCAAUAAAGAGAAACCUUUGUAUGCCACGCUUUAGAGAUGCUAGGUUUUUAAUUACUAAAUUUGCUCAUGGGAUUAUUGCUGUUUUGGAGGUUAAGGUAUAGAUUCAUUACCUAAAAACAAGAUCAAGCUAGAAACUCAUUGAGAGGACUACUGUAGAGGGCAUGGAGGUAAAAAGUACAGGUAUUUGAGAAGAUUUUUAACAAGAUACCAGAUCGAGCAGAUAUUAGGUCUGUCCAGUUCACUCAUAAUUUGUAAUGCUCUCAUUUUCUUAAACUAGGUACUUUUGAAAAGAACGCAGAAGAGAUAGCCUCUGGCAGAGGUUUGUCAUUCUCUACUUCAUGCUGUUAAUUAUCCGAACUUAGGUAUGACAACAGCAAACAACCAGCUCCUCUGCUAGCUAGAUGAUGCUGAUGACAGAAAGCUCCCCAAGAGGCAGGCAAUUGGGAACUACUGAAGUGAGUAUAGCUUAGAGGUGUGGAGCUGAGAAGGGCUGUUGGCUGAACAGGACCCGCUCACCAUGAAAUGUUAAUGUGUCAAUGAAGGGGAAAAGCAUGAAUGAACUACAAAAAAGCUGAAAAUGACUCAGCUGGUUGGAGAUGGAAUUUGGCUCUUUGCCAAAGUAAGGUGUUCAAGGGCACACACCAUAACACUUAGGGAAAAAAAAUCCUGCCCCCUGAAUUUGAAAAGAGAAAAUAUUUUGAAGAAAGAAGACAGAUAGCUUUUUUUCAUUAGAAAUAAACUUCCUUUUUUUUUUUUUUCUUUCUUUCUUUCUUCCCUUCCAGGCAGCAAACUUUUUCUGAGUUCUUUCUUUUUGCCAGGCUUUGAUUAGGAAUGAGGAAGGAAGAGAGGGAGAAUGGAAUAUAAAGAUAAAUGUGACCCAGCCCCUCUCUGAAAGCUCUUAUCCUAGAGAAAGGACAGAUGUAAGGAACUAUAAAAAAAGUGAAAUAAGUGCAAAGGAGGGAAAAGGUAAAUUGUAGGGAU
rnacentral:lncRNA from 1 species